rnacentral:snRNA from 1 species
AUCUCUUUGGGGACAUCCGAUAAAAUUGGAACGAUACAGAGAAGAUUAGCAUGACCCUUGCACAAGAAUGACACGCACAAAUCGAGAAAUGGUUCAAAUUUUU